rnacentral:rRNA from 1 species
AGAGUUUGAUCCUGGCUCAGAUUGAACGCUGGCGGAAUGCUUUACACAUGCAAGUCGAGCGGCAGCGCGGGGCAACCUGGCGGCGAGCGGCGGACGGGUGAGUAACAUAUCGGAACGUAUCCUGUAGUGGGGGAUAGCCCGGCGAAAGCCGGAUUAAUACCGCAUACGAUCUACGGAUGAAAGCGGGGGACCUUCGGGCCUCGCGCUAUAGGAGCGGCCGAUAUCUGAUUAGCUAGUUGGUGGGGUAAAAGCUCACCAAGGCGAUGAUCAGUAGCUGGUCUGAGAGGAUGAUCAGCCACACUGGGACUGAGACACGGCCCAGACUCCUACGGGAGGCAGCAGUGGGGAAUUUUGGACAAUGGGGGAAACCCUGAUCCAGCCAUUCCGCGUGAGUGAAGAAGGCCUUCGGGUUGUAAAGCUCUUUCGGCAGGAACGAAACGGGUUACGUGAAUAUCGUAGCCUACUGACGGUACCUGAAGAAGAAGCACCGGCUAACUACGUGCCAGCAGCCGCGGUAAUACGUAGGGUGCGAGCGUUAAUCGGAAUUACUGGGCGUAAAGCGUGCGCAGGCGGUUUGUUAAGACAGAUGUGAAAUCCCCGGGCUUAACCUGGGAAUGGCGUUUGUAACUGGCAAGCUAGAGUGUGUCAGAGGGAGGUAGAAUUCCACGUAGCAGUGAAAUGCGUAGAGAUGUGGAGGAAUACCGAUGGCGAAGGCAGCCUCCUGGGAUAACACUGACGCUCAUGCACGAAAGCGUGGGGAGCAAACAGGAUUAGAUACCCUAGUAGUCC